rnacentral:rRNA from 1 species
AUGAACGCUGGCGGCGUGCUUAACACAUGCAAGUCGCACGAAGCACUUUAUUUGAUUUCCUUCGGGACUGAUUAUUUUGUGACUGAGUGGCGGACGGGUGAGUAACGCGUGGGUAACCUGCCUUGUACAGGGGGAUAACAGUUGGAAACGGCUGCUAAUACCGCAUCAGCGCACGGCAUCGCAUGAUGCAGUGUGAAAAACUCCGGUGGUAUAAGAUGGACCCGCGUUGGAUUAGCUAGUUGGUGAGGUAACGGCCCACCAAGGCGACGAUCCAUAGCCGACCUGAGAGGGUGACCGGCCACAUUGGGACUGAGACACGGCCCAAACUCCUACGGGAGGCAGCAGUGGGGAAUAUUGCACAAUGGGCGAAAGCCUGAUGCAGCGACGCCGCGUGAGCGAAGAAGUAUUUCGGUAUGUAAAGCUCUAUCAGCAGGGAAGAUAAUGACGGUACCUGACUAAGAAGCACCGGCUAAAUACGUG